CUACGUGCCAGCAGCCGCGGUAAUACGUAUGUCGCAAGCGUUAUCCGGAAUUAUUGGGCAUAAAGGGCAUCUAGGCGGCCAGAUAAGUCUGGGGUGAAAACUUGCGGCUCAACCGCAAGCCUGCCCUGGAAACUAUGUGGCUAGAGUACUGGAGAGGUGGACGGAACUGCACGAGUAGAGGUGAAAUUCGUAGAUAUGUGCAGGAACACCGGUGGCGAAGGCGGGUCUCUGGGCCGUUACUGACGCUGAGGAGCGAAAGCGUGGGGAGCGAACAGGAUUAGAUACCCUGGUAGUCCACGCUGUAAACGUUGGGCACUAGGUGUGGGGGCCACCCGUGGUUUCUGCGCCGUAGCUAACGCUUUAAGUGCCCCGCCUGGGGAGUACGGCCGCAAGGCUAAAACUCAAAGGAAUUGACGGGGGCCCGCACAAGCGGCGGAGCAUGCGGAUUAAUUCGAUGCAACGCGAAGAACCUUACCAAGGCUUGACAUGC
rnacentral:rRNA from 1 species